GACGAACCGUCCAAACGUUAUUCGGAAUCACUGGGCUUACAGAGUUCGUAGGCGGUCCCAAAAGUUAGGUGUGAAAUCCCUCGGCUCAACCGAGGAACUGCGCUUAAAACUGUGGGACUCGAGGGAGAUAGAGGAAAGCGGAACUGAUGGUGGAGCGGUGAAAUGCGUUGAUAUCAUCAGGAGCACCGGUGGCGAAGGCGGCUUUCUGGGUCUUACCUGACGCUGAGGAACGAAAGCCAGGGGAGCGAACGGG
rnacentral:rRNA from 1 species